rnacentral:misc_RNA from 1 species
AGAAAAGGGUAGUUGAUUUUGAUGAGUUAUUCUCUCCAGUUGUGAAGAUGUCAUCCAUUCAUGUGGUUCUAGGCUUGGCUGCAAGUCUAGAUUUAGAGGUUGAACAAAUGGAUGUUAAAACUGCUUUCCUCCAUGGUGACUUAGAUGAAGAAAUUUAUAUGGAGCAACCGGAAGGUUUUGAAGUCAAGGGUAACGAGAAUUAUGUUUGCAAAUUGAAGAAGAGCUUGUAUGGUUUGAAACAAGCUCCCAGGCAGUGG